rnacentral:lncRNA from 1 species
GACUCUCCAGCCUCCCUCGCCCGGCAAAGCGAUGUCGUUUUUACUAUGCUGGGACACCCCUCAGAUGUUCGGCAAAUUGUCCUUGGCCCCAACGGCAUCCUCUCAGGCCUCAACCCCGGCGGCGUUCUUGUAGACACCACCAGCAGCCACCCUGGUCUUGCCCGCGAAAUCUACGCUGCUGCACGGGAGAAGAACUGCUGGUCCGUGGAUUCGCCUGUUUCCGGUGGGGAUAUCGGUGCCAGGGAUG